ACGGACGAGAUCAGAAAAUGUCGGGGAUGAUUUGGGCCUUAGUGGUCCUGUGGUGGCUGCGUUUGAAUCCUACUGGCCUGCUAAGUCCCAAGUUAUAUCCGAUGUUGG
rnacentral:pre_miRNA from 1 species